rnacentral:misc_RNA from 1 species
AGAAUCCUGAAAUGGCGAAGGAAGCUUUCUCACAGGCUGUGUACAAAUCCGUAACUGAGCAAUAUGCAGUGCUCCAGUCUGCAAUACACGGAUACCAAGGAUUAAAUGCAUCAAACUCUGCUAUCUCUCUCUCAGAACCAUGAAAAUUGCCCUCUCAUGCUUGAUAUAUUUUCUUCUCCGAUCAUAUGAUUGCAACAACAAAGUAUUUGAUCAGAAA